rnacentral:rRNA from 1 species
GAUGAACGCUGGCGGCGUGCCUAAUACAUGCAAGUCGAGCGAACAGACGAGGAGCUUGCUCCUCUGACGUUAGCGGCGGACGGGUGAGUAACACGUGGAUAACCUACCUAUAAGACUGGGAUAACUUCGGGAAACCGGAGCUAAUACCGGAUAAUAUAUUGAACCGCAUGGUUCAAUAGUGAAAGACGGUUUUGCUGUCACUUAUAGAUGGAUCCGCGCCGCAUUUGCUAGUUGGUAAGGUAACGGCUUACCAAGGCAACGAUGCGUAGCCGACCUGAGAGGGUGAUCGGCCACACUGGAGCUGAGACACGGUCCAGACUCCUACGGGAGGCAGCAGUAGGGAAUCUUCCGCAAUGGGCGAAAGCCUGACGGAGCAACGCCGCGUGAGUGAUGAAGGUCUUCGGAUCGUAAAACUCUGUUAUUAGGGAAGAACAAAUGUGUAAGUAACUAUGCACGUCUUGACGGUACCUAAUCAGAAAGCCACGGCUAACUACGUG